UUUGCUCUCUUCAUAAGGGGCUGUCUAUAUGCAUUAUCUCUCAUUUUUUUUCCAGGCCAUUAUUUCUUGAACUCACUUUAAAUUGCUAUUUUUGUGAUUAAAAAAAAGAUCUCCAUGAUGCUAAGGGCAACGAAUAUUCUCAAGUCUCAUUUUACUUCAUUGGACAGCAGAAUUUCAAGAAUCAGCCCACUUUACUGGAAUAUUUCAUUUCCGGGACGUCCCUCUUGGGUUCCGCUCUGGCCCCUUCUCUGUCUCCCUUGCUUGCUCCUUCUGUUUCCUCUACUCCUUAAUAUUAAAAUGCCCCACGAUUCUGUCUUCCGUCCUCUUUUCUCCUCUCUCUGCACCUGCCAUCCUGGCGCUCCCAACCGAUCUCCUAAGUUUAAAAGCUCCGCUAGGCCUUCCGGGGGAGGCCCUGUUGUCUCUGACGUCACCUUCCGCUGCCGUGGUUCCUUCCGGCUGCCGCCAUCAUCACCCGCUCCUGGCAGGCUCCCUGCAGAGCCGCCCUGCUUGCGAUUCUUCCCCUUGGAAUCUUCUUUCCCAGAUUUCCACGUGACUUGUUCCCGGAGCCCCUCCCAGUUGUUAUUUACAUGUAGGGCCUUCCUGGAUCUCUGUCCUUCCAUCUGUCCGUGCCCUUUCCGGCCCUGGGCGCUAUACCUCUUCACUGGCUGAUUUUCCUUUGUGCUUACACUGCGCUCUAUAAUUCACUUACUUACUUUUUGGGUUGUCUUCUGUACGAAUUGAAGUCCUCACAAAGACAAGAUGUGUUUUGGGUUUUUUUGCCUGAUACUAUAAAUAUCUGUAAAAUGAAUAAAUCCUAGAAUAUAGAUCUCUAGAUACAACAGCUAUCGCUCCUUACAUGCUGGAAAUUUAAACCAGAAUUUAAUUUUCCAACAUAUCCUUCCCCACUCUGUCCCCUCCCUAUGCCGUCUUCCUAGCUCCGCGCUGUAUUCCGUUUUCUUACCUUAUACAGGUAGCAGCAUUGACUCAGAUUAGGCAGCUUCUCUAACGUCUUGCAGCUAAUACACAGCAGAGCUGGCAUGGGUUCCCUGUUUAACCAGAGAAUCGGUCACUCUGUAUUUUCAGACAUUCCCAACCACUCUCUGGAGGGUGAUCCAAAUACAGCAGAGUCUGAUGAGAAACCAUCCUACCUUUCUUCUUCUUUUUUUUUUUUUUAACGUUUAUUUAUUUUUUGCGAGAGACUGAGCGAAUUGGGGAGGGGCAGAGAGGGGCUAGAGGUUCUGAAGCAGACAGCCUCUGCUCCGGCUCACGAACCCUGAGAUCGUGACCUGAGCCAGAGUUGGACACUUACCCAGCUGAGCCAGCCAGGCACUCCUGAUGAUCAACUGUUCUGUCAUUAGAUGGUGACCUGGUGAAUGACAUCUGAUGUUCAUUGUCUACAAUCACGUGCUGAGGGUGGCCAGUGAGAAGCUCUGUCACCUGGAUAGGGACCUCAGCAGGCAGCUGCCCAGGACACCUAUGCGAACAUGGACGAGGGGGCCGCUAUUGGGAAAGCCUUCUUCCAGCCCUUGCUCUGGGGAAAAUCAGCUGCCUUGUCGUAAGCCCUGUGGAGAGGUCCAUGGGACCAGGAACUGGCAUCUCCUGUGAACAGCCAUUGAGCAUCUGAGGCUGCCAACGGCCACAUGAGUGAACUUGGAAGAAGAUCCUGACCCAGUCCAGCCUUGAGAUGACAGCAGCCCCUGUAACAUCUUGAUUGAGCCUGUGAGAGGCACACAGCUAAGACCCAUGGGGAUUCCUGACCUGUAGCAACUACGGGAUAAUAAAUGUUUACUGGGGGCACCUGGG